ACGAAGACGUCUUCAUUCCGAUACAUUUUGGCAUUGACCCACACCCAAACGAAGCUUGAUUUGAGUUACCCAUCCCCUCCGACACUAUUUUGACGUCGACCCACUCCUUACCCAAGAGGUUUUAUGGUGAGAUAGUAGGAACCCUUCGGUGAACUUGGUAGCACAUUAGAACUUUGUUUUCGCAGGUAUCGAGCUAGCUCCUGGGAUGGUGAU